rnacentral:rRNA from 1 species
GAUUAACGCUAGCGGCAGGCCUAAUACAUGCAAGUCGAGGGGCAGCAGGGUGUAGCAAUACAUCGCUGGCGACCGGCGCACGGGUGCGUAACACGUAUGCAACCUACCUUUAACUGGGGAAUAGCCCUCCGAAAGGAGGAUUAACACCGCAUAACAUCACGAGACGGCAUCGCCUUGUGAUCAAACCUCCGGGGGUUAAAAUGGGCAUGCGUCCGAUUAGCUAGUUGGCGGGGUAACGGCCCACCAAGGCGACGAUCGGUAGGGGGUCUGGAGAGGAUGAUCCCCCACACUGGUACUGAGACACGGACCAGACUCCUACGGGAGGCAGCAGUAAGGAAUAUUGGACAAUGGUCGCAAGACUGAUCCAGCCAUGCCGCGUGCAGGAUGAACGAUCUAUGAUCUGUAAACUGCUUUUGUUCGGGAAUAAACCCCUUACGUGUGGAGGGCUGAAUGUACCGAAAG